GGCCAGGCUGGUCUCGAACUCCUGGGCUGAAGCAAUUCACCUGCCUCGGCCUCCCAAAGUGCUGGGAUUACAGGAAAGAAAAGCACUGAGAGAGAACUCUUCCUGCCUUAUCACCCCAUCAAAAUGGCUGUUCCAAAGCUGUCGAUCACCAAAGCUGUCAUCUACAAUACCCAGACAUCGUUAGUCUCAGAAGCAAAAACAUUCUACAUUCCAGACAUCAUUAGUCUCAGAAGAAAAAACAUUCUACAUUCAAUUUCCUAUUCAAAGCAUACUGGGGUGGAAGACUUAAUCAUUUUAUAAACCCUCCAGACAUGUUUGAUCCAUUUCAGGUUCUACUAAUAAAUGUUCCUUACUCUA